CAGCAGCCGCGGGAAAACGGAGGAUCCAAGCGUUAUCCGGAAUCAUUGGGUUUAAAGGGUCCGUAGGCGGUCUUGUAAGUCAGUGGUGAAAGCCCAUCGCUCAACGGUGGAACGGCCAUUGAUACUGCAGGACUUGAAUUAUUGGGAAGUAACUAGAAUAUGUAGUGUAGCGGUGAAAUGCUUAGAGAUUACAUGGAAUACCAAUUGCGAAGGCAGGUUACUACCAAUUGAUUGACGCUGAUGGACGAAAGCGUGGGUAGCGAACAGGAUUAGAUACCCCCGUAGUCCCUGUCUCUUAUAC
rnacentral:rRNA from 1 species